rnacentral:rRNA from 1 species
GACGAACGCUGGCGGCGUGCCUAAUACAUGCAAGUCGAACGCAGUUGCGAACGGGUGAGUAACGCGUAGGUAACUUCCCCAUAGCGGGGGAUUACUAUUGGAAACGAUAGCUAAUACCCCAUACUGUGAGCUGGACCUGCGUUGUUUUAGCUAGUUGGUGAGGUAAAGGCGCACCAAGGCGCCUAUACAUAGCCGGCCUGAGAGGGGGAACGGCCACAAUGGGACUGCGAAACGGCCCAGACUGCUUCGGGAGGCAGCAGUAGGGAAACUUCGGCAAUGGACGGAAGUCUGAACGAGCAACGCCGCGGUAGUGAAGAAGGUUUUCGGAUUGUAAAGCUAUGUUGUUAGAGAAGCGGUAACUGACCAGAAAGGGACGGCUAACUACGUGCCAGCAGCCGCGGUAAUUC